rnacentral:tRNA from 1 species
GGGGGUGUAGCUCAGCUGGGAGAGCGCCUGCUUUGCAAGCAGAUGUCAUCGGUCAGAUCCCGUUCACCUCCACCA